rnacentral:rRNA from 1 species
UGGGGAAUAUUGGACAAUGGGGGGAACCCUGAUCCAGCCAUGCCGCGUGUGUGAAGAAGGCCUUAUGGUUGUAAAGCACUUUAAGCGAGGAGGAGGGUACUGGUAUUAAUACUACCAGCUACUGGACGUUACUCGCAGAAUAAGCACCGGCUAACUCUGUGCCAGCAGCCGCGGUAAUACAGAGGGUGCGAGCGUUAAUCGGAUUUACUGGGCGUAAAGCGUGCGUAGGAGGCUAAUUGAGUCGGAUGUGAAAUCCCCGAGCUUAACUUGGGAAUUGCAUUCGAUACUGGUUAGCUAGAGUGUGGGAGAGGAUGGUAGAAUUCCAGGUGUAGCGGUGAAAUGCGUAGAGAUCUGGAGGAAUACCGAUGGCGAAGGCAGCCAUCUGGCCUAACACUGACGCUGAGGUACGAAAGUAUGGGGAGCAAACAGG